rnacentral:rRNA from 1 species
GGGUCAGUAGGUUGGUCGUGCCACCGGUACGUACUGGUCUCACCGAUUCCUCCUUCCUGAAGAACCGUAAUGCCAUUAAUUUGGUGUUGCGGGGAAACAGGACUGUUACUUUGAAAAAAUUAGAGUGUUUAAAGCAAGCUAACGCUUGAAUACAUUAGCAUGGAAUAAUGAAAUAGGACGAUCGAUCCCAUUUUGUUGGUUUCUAGGAUUGACGUA